UGCCAGCCGCCGCGGUAAUACAGAGGGUGCAAGCGUUAAUCGGAAUUACUGGGCGUAAAGGGCGCGUAGGUGGAUACUUAAGUCAGAUGUGAAAGCCCCGGGCUUAACCUGGGAGGGUCAUCUGAUACUGGGUAUCUAGAGUACAAGAGAGGAAGGCGGAAUUUCCGGUGUAGCGGUGAAAUGCGUAGAUAUCGGAAAGAACACCAAUGGCGAAGGCAGCCUUCUGGCUUGAUACUGACACUGAGGCGCGAAAGCGUGGGUAGCGAACAGGAUUAGAUA
rnacentral:rRNA from 1 species